UGAUGCACUUUUGAAAAAUGACAUAAAUGUGAAAACACUAUUUAUUGUUGGAUUUCAAAAAUGAUAUUUGAAAGCAUACAAUCUCCUCUUUUUUUUUGGCUGAUAAGAAAACAUACAAUCUUCUCUUGUAUUGGAGGUUUGCUUCUUCUCUGCUUCUCACGAGAUAUCUGUGAGAACUGAUCCUCUGGAGAAAGCAUUAAUCAUUCUGUCAGAAAGGGUCUGUCAUGGUCAUUCCAGUGUAACUUUUCUUGUAUUGGAGGUCUGCUUCUUCUUUGCUUAUGGUCAUCUCCAUGCACUGAUGAAUCUUCUUGGUGAUUUCAUUAUCUUUGCUAUCUAGAUAUCUCUCAUUUUUUAAAUAUCAUUAUCUAAUUGCAAUUAACAAGGCAAGAGUGUUACUGAGUUUGCUUCUUUUAGUUAUGAUAGAAAGUGCUUACAUCCCAUUGCCUUUCUGCAAUUCUCCUAGUCCAUUGAUGGUAGCUCAUAUCUUUUUUCCUUUUAUACAAGUGGCAAGCACCUUGUCCCCGUGGGUCUUGGAGAUGAUGAUCAAUGCACCCAAAAUGACUUUACUGCAUGGUGUGCCACAUAUUCGGAGAAGAUGCAGCAAAUCCAAUAUAUAUUAAUGUAUGGGACCAACCUUCCAGUGAUGAUUGUUUCUCAGGUGGACCAUGAUCUUGAUAGACAAUGGACAAAAGUAUGCUCUGUCUCAGGGUGGAUUGUUGGCACACCAUACGGCUUAUCUAUUUUUAGCCCCACAGAUCAAUGUUGCCACUGCAAGGUUCAAUAUUGAAAUGUGAUUAUCAGAAGCAGUGGGCCAUCAUUGAAACUGAAACAGUGUAAAAUGUCAUGGAAAUGUGAUUAAAAGAAGCCACAGAAAUGAGAUAAUGUUUCCAUAUCGAGCCUUGUCGUUCUUACAUGGCACACGGCAUUUCCUUGCCAUUUUCUAUGUUAUCAUAGUUUAAGCAAGAUCCUUAAGUUUCCUGCAUUUAGAAUCUACUAUUUACCACCUUCUCGGAAAUCGUAUAGUUCAGGAAG